rnacentral:rRNA from 1 species
UACAGAGGUCCCGAGCGUUGUUCGGAUUCAUUGGGCGUAAAGGGUGCGUAGGCGGCGGGGCAAGUCUGAUGUGAAAUCCCGGGGCUCAACCCCGGAACUGCAUUGGAUACUGCCUUGCUUGAGUACUGGAGAGGGAACUGGAAUUUACGGUGUAGCAGUGAAAUGCGUAGAGAUCGUAAGGAAGGCCAGUGGCGAAGGCGAGUUCCUGGACAGUUACUGACGCUGAGGCACGAAGGCCAGGGAGCAAACGGG